AUCUUGUGUUGUUGAGGCUGAGGACUGACUUGGGUUCUGAGACUCCCUGUCCCGGACCGCAGAUUAUAGUGGGACCAGUCUCAUUAGGUUGAAUCUACAGCCUUUGUUGGUGUUAACCCAGGUCUCUUAGAGUGUUAAAAGGAUCUGAACAAAGUCUGCUCAAAUCUCCUGCUGUGAACCAGCAGAAUUUUUGAACAGGUUUCUUCACAUAUAAAAAUCUAUUGUAAAAAUACGGAAAAGAAUGGCAGCGGAAACGCAGACACUGAACUUUGGGCCUGAAUGUCUCUUACAGAUAUGUUUGGACCCCGAAUAUGGAAUUCUCAUGGAAUUUUGAGAUCCAUCACAUUGUAGUGUGGCUUCCCCCCCCCCCUUCCUUUUUCCCCAAAGUUGGUGAUUGAAGAACCUCUCUUCAGUGGCAUCAAUAAUAAUAAUUACUUUUUCUAUUCAAACCUCGGGCAACCCCUUUGGUAAUAUCAGAAGCAGUAUCUAAAAUAGAUAAAUUGGAUUUGUGUCUUAAACUCUUGGUUGUUCAGGUGGGAGUGGUUCAAUAAAUGAUGCAGACUUCCCGUAGUAACUCUAUUUGAGGAGUCUUAUUAACUUACCCUAUUAGAAAUAUUUCUUUUUAUUAAUAUAUGUAAUCUGGAAGUUUUCUUAACCUUUAUAGCCAGCAUUUGGAGACUGAGGAGAAAUCACUAUUUGAAGUUCUAAGAACUGAUGGAACUCCUGUAUUUUGAGAGUUUAUUUAGAACAUGUUAACCUAAGUAAUGCUGUACUUGUUUUAGUUAUUCCUUUAUAUUUUUUAAAUGAUUUUCUUAUUAUCA
rnacentral:sRNA from 1 species